GAUGAACGCUGGCGGCGUGCCUAAUACAUGCAAGUCGAGCGAACAGACGAGGAGCUUGCUCCUCUGACGUUAGCGGCGGACGGGUGAGUAACACGUGGAUAACCUACCUAUAAGACUGGGAUAACUUCGGGAAACCGGAGCUAAUACCGGAUAAUAUAUUGAACCGCAUGGUUCAAUAGUGAAAGACGGUUUUGCUGUCACUUAUAGAUGGAUCCGCGCCGCAUUAGCUAGUUGGUAAGGUAACGGCUUACCAAGGCAACGAUGCGUAGCCGACCUGAGAGGGUGAUCGGCCACCCUGGAGCUGAGACACGGUCCAGACUCCUACGGGAGGCAGCAGUAGGGAAUCUUCCGCAAUAGGCGAAAGCCUGACGGAGCAACGCCGCGUGAGUGAUGAAGGUCUUCGGAUCGUAAAACUCUGUUAUUAGUGAAGAACCAAUGUGUAAGUAACUAUGCACGUCUUGACGGUACCUAAUCAGAAAGCCACGGCUAACUACGUG
rnacentral:rRNA from 1 species